CUGGCUACAUCACUGGAACCAGUGUUGAAGUAGCAGAGGCCUUUUCAUUGGCUGAGACAACAUUCCAUCAUCCUCAUGAAGAUCCCAUCUAGGGUCCAGUAAUUGUAUAUGUCUUCAACGUUCACACUGUGCCUUCGCGUGUGAUAAUACAACCGAUUGGGGAUCAAUCUUGUUUUGUAAAUCUAGUCAAUAUCUUAGUGUAAAUGUGCAAUAAAUUGAAACCUGUUGUGGCGAGAGUUGAGUGCUCUCCCAAUUUAA